UGGGGAAUAUUGGACAAUGGGGGCAACCCUGAUCCAGCAAUGCCGCGUGUGUGAAGAAGGUUUUCGGAUUGUAAAGCACUUUCGACGGGGACGAUGAUGACGGUACCCGUAGAAGAAGCCCCGGCUAACUUCGUGCCAGCAGCCGCGGUAAUACGAAGGGGGCUAGCGUUGCUCGGAAUGACUGGGCGUAAAGGGCGUGUAGGCGGUUUGUACAGUCAGAUGUGAAAUCCCCGGGCUUAACCUGGGAGCUGCAUUUGAUACGUGCAGACUAGAGUGUGAGAGAGGGUUGUGGAAUUCCCAGUGUAGAGGUGAAAUUCGUAGAUAUUGGGAAGAACACCGGUGGCGAAGGCGGCAACCUGGCUCAUAACUGACGCUGAGGCGCGAAAGCGUGGGG
rnacentral:rRNA from 1 species